CGGGUCCUGGCUGAGAUUGCUGGGCCAAGAUUCAGAUGUGAAGGGGGAGUUGUGAAUAGUUCCCUUACCUCUGAUGUAUAAGACUUGACUUGAUUUUGCUCCCAGGAGCCCAUGGGCUCUGACUUUGGAAGCAGGCGGCAGAGAGGCAGAGUUCCUCAUCUUCAGAGUCCACAACUUCUUCUACUUCAUCACUUACUCACUCACUCCCAGGCCAGGUUUUGAUUAAACUCAUUCACAGUGGGGUGUAAAUGACAAAUGUAGCUCCUUGUUUGGUUUUGACCCUUCUCCUAACAGAAAUUCACAAUACACAUUAUCAUAUUGGAAUAUUGAGAAGUCCCACAGAGAAGGAACCUGUCUAACUUUGUUUUGUCCCCAGUGUCCCAACUUAUCUGACCAUGGUCUUUUUUGUGCCCUCUGAAUCACAUCAUUUUAGAGGGAACUAGCCUUGUGAGAAACGUGUUUCUUUAGGUUAAACAAAUACCUCUGUCAUUCUUUCAGCCAACAGUCACGGAGGCACAGUGUAUGCUGGGCACCAGUGAGUAAAACAGGCACCGUUAUGAAGCUUAUAUUCUUUAAACAAUGUAUGUCUUCCCCCACCUUACUAAUAUAAUCACUCAGGUGAGGAUGUGGCUGAGCCAAUGACUGAAGACAUCUGAAGGGAGAUACUAACCGGAUGAACAGGUAUCUCCGAAGUGUCUCAGUGGGAGCAAGAAAAAUGGCCACAGCAAGGUUGGCUGAAGGGUUGGAGAGACUGAACACUGUCAGGCUUAAGGGCUGUCAAACAGUGUACUUGGAACAAAGUGCAAAGUGAGUAAGGAGACUUCUCUACCGAACCCUACUUAACUGGUGCCUGUAAAUACUUGGACUAAAACGGACACAUUCUAAGGCAUGAAGAAACUUUAGCCACUAUUAGUUUGUAGGUACAUAAGAGAUUCAGCUCACAGGUCAAGAAAGUGUUUCACCAUAUGAUGUCUUUUGUAUGGUAAGCUAUUUAAAGUAUAGAAUACAAGCAAUACAAUUAUAAGGAAAAUUUUCUGACUUUUAUUAUAGCAUUUUGCCCCAUGCUCUUCAACAUAUUUAUACACUUUUUAAUGUUGUCAUUUCAUAUAAAAAUUUUGUUAUACCGCCGAGCAGAUUAGGAGCUCCUU
rnacentral:lncRNA from 1 species